CCUACGGGAGGCAGCAGUGAGGAAUAUUGGUCAAUGGCCGGAAGGCUGAACCAGCCAUGCCGCGUGAAGGUCAGUGCCCUAUAGGCGUUAAACUUCUUUUGUGCGGGAGCAAUAAUGGUCACGUGUGGCCAGACGAGAGUACCGUACGAAUAAGCAUCGGCUAACUCCGUGCCAGCAGCCGCGGUAAUACGGGGGAUGCAAGCGUUAUCCGGAUUUAUUGGGUUUAAAGGGUGCGUAGGCUGUGAGGUAAGUCAGCGGUGAAAUGCCCCGGCUCAACGGGGUGAAGUGCCAUUGAUACUGGCUGGCUGGAAUGCGGAUGCCGUGGGAGGAAUGUGUGGUGUAGCGGUGAAAUGCAUAGAUAUCACACAGAACACCGAUUGCGAAGGCAUCUCACGAAUCCGCGAUUGACGCUGAUGCACGAAAGCGUGGGUAUCAAACAGGAUUAGAUACCCUUGUAGUC
rnacentral:rRNA from 1 species